rnacentral:lncRNA from 1 species
CACCGCUCUCUCCGCCUGAGGGGCUUCCUCUCAGCCACCGAACUCAGGGUGGCCUUUCGGGCUCGGCCCUGAGGACCCCCUUCCGCUGGGCUCCACAGCCUCCGUGUGACCCCGAAUCUCAAAGCUCGGGCCUCCCGGUGCUUCAUUAUCAGCUCACACAUCUGCCUCCCGGCCGCCCCCAGGGGCCGUGAGCUCCCUGAGGGCGGGCCGGGGUGUCGCCCAUCUUUGUCUCUGGUGCCCUCAGGCCCUGCCGCGCGGGAAGCGCUCCGAGGCGGCCUGGCCCCCAGCGCCUGCCGAGGACGCCUUAGCUCGGCACACGUUCGGCGGGCGCCUCCCCUGGGCCGGGCGCUGUUCUGGGUGCUGGAGACUCCGCGGCACGGAAAGGCUGCCUGGCGGGGACGGAGAGGACGCGAACCUGGGACGCCCGCUCCGAGCCCGCCAGGUCCACCAUGAAGAGCCUGCCGACGCGCACCUCCUCCGCCGGGUGUGCGCCGCGGCCGCGCCGGCGCACGAUGACCUGCAGCACCGCGUGCGAGCGGGACGACGUCUUGUUGGUGGCCGUGGGCUCCUGCGUGCGCUGCCGGUUGCCUUUGGGCUGCUGCAAGGCCCAAGGAGCCAGGUGCAGAGGGGCCCGCCAGCCCUCAGGAAGGAGGCGCUCUGUGACGCUGUGAGGGGUCCCGCCGCCACCGACCUCCCUCCCUCCCAGGACACUGCCCUGGCGGUACCUGAGGGGCCGUAGGCAAACACCGUUGCGUUGUAUCCAGAAACCACGCCUUCCACCAACUGCUGGGUGGUGGCCAGGUACACGUCCUCCUGCGGACAGACAGAUGGAAGACAGUCAACAUACAGUCUGACCAGAGUCAGGCACCUGGCUGUUCAGAGAGGCUGAGUGUGUGGUGGCUCAAAGGCCCUGCUCCUCCUGGACACAGACAGGCACCCCAUGGAGGAGGAGGCCAGUUCAGGCGGGGCCUGAGCCCCACCCCAGUCCUGCAGCUGCAUGACCACAGACGCGCUGCGUGGCGCGCCGAGCGCCCCGGAGGAGACCACGACGAAGGAGCGCAGCUCGGGAGCGUAAGUGACACAGCGCAUGCCAUGAGGCCUGACGGGUUUGGUUCCAAACAGGUGUGAGUCCUUCCCAGGGUUUCUGUAUGAACUGAGAGAAAUCAGAAAGAAUGCAAAGGACUGGGAAGUAGUGACGGGGCUGGAAAUCUGGGAAGAGCAUUAUGGUUCCUCUCGUGGGACAGAACUAGGACGAGGGAGGGAAAGCUUCGGGCUAGCGCAUCCUAAUUCAGGGCAGCACCACGUAACUCUAGGAGUGUGUGGGUAGUAAGCUCCCUGUCCACAGGGACAUUCAAGGAAGGACGCCUUUUGGGCUGGUGUCUGAGGGUGUGGGGGUUGGGCUGGACUGGGUAGAAAGGACAGUCCCCCUUCUUCUGUCUUCCCUGAGUGCUGCCCAGACUCCACUCUGCAUCUGUCGCAACGUCCCUGGCCAGUGACCCAGCUUAGAGCGUCUGAGCCCUGGUAGGACAGAUGCCAAAGCUGGUGCCGCUUCCCUCCAUCCUUGGACUUACACGGUCUGGGACCUUGUCCCGGCUCUAUGGGUCUCUAGCCAUGCGACCUCAGGCCAGUUGCUGACCUCCUCAAGCUUUCCCUUCCUUCCCUGAAAAAUGGGGAUAGUAUCACGUGUACUUUAUAGGCUUGCCAUGAUGCCUGUAAGACAGUGCGUGUCAAGCACUUUGAGCACAGCACUUGACGUGAAACAGCUGCUCAAUAAACGACAACCACCAGGUCA